UAAGAGUGCCUGCUGCUUUGUCUUUUGCCCUUUGACCUCUCGCUGGGUGCCCUUCGGCGUUCACUUCCGCGUCCGCUUCGUGCCUCUCGGCAGCACAGACAGCUGCUGCGCAAACGGGGUUAAUGCCGCUCGCGGACCCAUGCCGCAUGCAACUGAACUUAAGGCUCCCGUGUCUGCGCCUCUCGCCUCUCAAUGAGCGACAAGCUUGAUGUCUGGUGGAGCUGCGGGUCAAAUGGUGGUGGUGGUGGUGGUCGUUCGGUGGUGGUAACUUUGUUUGUAUAUAUUUGCAAAGCACUUUCAGUUGAUUUUGGUUUUGUAGUGGUUUUGUUGUGUUUUGUUGCUUUAUUUAGGUUGCCCCAUUUUAGUUCGCUCCAUCCGUCCAGCCUAACUCCAGCUCCCUGGCUCUUUGAGGGUGAGUGUAUGUGGGUGUGUGCGUGUGAGUUUAUUGGCGCCAAAUGUUUUAGAAGACAAGAGCCACUAUUUUAAUCAAGUUGAAAUAAACGUCUGUUUUAAGGAUUUAUAAUAAGCAUAAUAAAUAUUGUAAAUGGAGCCAGUGUCUCUGUCGCCUCAUUCAAGGUAAGCUUACCUGGGUGCCUUAGCUUCAUUAUUCCCUCA